GUGCAUGGUUGUCGUCAGCUCGUGUCGUGAGAUGUUGGGUUACUGACCGCAACGAGCGCAACCCUUGAUCUUAGUUGCCAGCAUUUAGUUGGGCACUCUAAGGUGACUGCCGGUGACAAACCGGAGGAAGGUGGGGAUGACGUCAAAUCAUCAUGCCCCUUAUGACCUGGGCUACACACGUGCUACAAUGGAUGGUACAAAGGGCUGCGAGACUGCAAAGUCAAGCCAAUCCCAUAGAACCAUUCUCAGUUCGGAUUGCAGGCUGCAACUCGCCUGCAUGAAGCUGGAAUCGCUAGUAAUCGUGGAUCAGCAUGCCACGGUGAAUACGUUCCCGGGCCUUGUACACACCGCCCGUCACACCACGAGAGUUUGUAACACCCGAAGCCGGUGGGGUAACCGUAAAGGAGCCAGCCGUCUAAGUGGGACAGAUGAUUGGGGUGACUGAGUAAC
rnacentral:rRNA from 2 species